GCUGCCAUUGUUGUCAUAUUCUUUACUGUCUUCAUUCUGUCAUUUCUUCAAAAGACAGUUCAUCCUUCAUUCAUUCAUGCCUUCCAACACUGAGGACACUGAGUUCUCUGGAAUCCUGAAGAAGACCCUUUCCUGAGUUAAGAUGACCACCUUCUGUUACUGUCUUUAUUAGCAACAACUUUCUGCUUUCGCGCAGUAAUAUGGGCCAGAAGUGGUGAUGACUUGCCCUUGGGAAGUAGUGGCAGAGCUGAGAAAAAGCAGAUGCAGCCCUCUUUAUUUUGGAAGACUCUUCAAUGAGACUUUAUGUGAGAAGUGAGCCAAAGCAGGGCAGAGGAUCAGUCGAAGGAUGACUGCUAACUCUUGUGUUGUGUGGAAUGUCAGAGAGCUUGUGAGGACAG
rnacentral:sRNA from 1 species